ACACGACUACAUUAGAUACCCGUGUAGUCCUAGCCGUAAACGAUACUCGCUAGGUGUCGGCCACGGUGCGACCGUUGUCGGUGCCGUAGGGAAGCCGUGAAGCGAGCCACCUGGGAAGUACGGCCGCAAGGCUGAAACUUAAAGGAUUGGCGGGGAGCACCACAACGGGUGGAGCUUGCGGUUUAAUUGGAUUCAACGCCGGAAAUCUUACCGGGACCGACAGCAACAUGAAGGCCAAGCUGAAGACUUUGCCGGAUUAGCUG
rnacentral:rRNA from 1 species